rnacentral:rRNA from 1 species
AGAUUGAACGCUGGCGGCAUGCUUUACACAUGCAAGUCGAACGGCAGCGCGGGGCAACCUGGCGGCGAGUGGCGAACGGGUGAGUAAUAUAUCGGAACGUACCCAAGAGUGGGGGAUAACGUAGCGAAAGUUACGCUAAUACCGCAUACGAUCUAAGGAUGAAAGCAGGGGACCGCAAGGCCUUGUGCUCCUGGAGCGGCCGAUAUCUGAUUAGCUAGUGGUAGGGUAAGGCCUACAAGGCUACGAUCAGUAGCUGGUCUGAGAGGACGACCACGCCACACUGGAACUGAGACACGGUCCAGACCUCGUACGGGAGCGACGCGAGGUGGGUAAUUUUGGAACAAGUCGGGCGACGAAGCCC